rnacentral:rRNA from 1 species
AACGCGAAGAACCUUACCUGGGCUUGAUAUCCUUGGAAUCUUGUAGAGAUAACAAGAGUGCUAGUUUACUAGAACCAAGAGACAGGUGCUGCACGGCUGUCGUCAGCUCGUGUCGUGAGAUGUUGGGUUAAGUCCCGCAACGAGCGCAACCCUCGUGAUUAGUUGCUAACAGUUUGGCUGAGCACUCUAAGCAGACUGCCGUAGAUAAUACGGAGGAAGGUGGGGACGACGUCAAAUCAUCAUGCCCCUUAUGACCUGGGCUACACACGUGCUACAAUGGUCUGAANCAGAGGGUUGCGAAGCCGCGAGGUGAAGCUAAUCCCUUAAAACAGAUCCCAGUUCGGAUUGCAGGCUGCAACUCGCCUGCAUGAAGUUGGAGUUGCUAGUAAUCGCGAAUCAGAAUGUCGCGGUGAAUGCGUUCCCGGGUCUUGUACACACCG